rnacentral:lncRNA from 1 species
ACCAAUAUGUAAUCCACCGAACAAAUCAACAACAACAAUGAUCUUCUCCCCUUAAUAUAGUUCAUUCUCUCUAAAUUUCAACCAAAUCUCAAGCAACAAUUAAAACAUGAAUACAAAUUAAAUCACAAGAAGAAAAGAAACUCAAAGUAGAGGAUUUACCGACAACGACAAUUGGAGGCGAAUUCCAACAGCGACAAAGGCAAAUGUGGUGUGGAAAAUCUGCUGGUGUCGUCGACGGUCUGCGGCAGUCGUCAGACGAUUCUGGAGAAAGCGGUUAUACGCACGACGGUAGUUCGAUCCAAUUCGUUGGUUUGCGGUUUCGCUUUUCUAUUUACGCUUCUAUGAUUUUUUUUAGUUGUUGAUGUAUAUGACUGAUGAUGGUGUCCUUUUCUCUAAAAUUUCUCUUUCUUUUUAUAGUUACUAUUUGGAAAUCUUCAAAUUUAAGGCUUUGAUGUUGUCAGUUUAAAGGAAAUGAUUUUCUUCCUUUUUUUUUAUUUUGGGAAAGGUUUGAAUGUUGAUUUUGAUUUGUUUUA